GAUGAGCGCUGGCUGCGUGCCUAAUACAUGCCAGUCGAGCGGACCAAACAGGAGCUUGCUCUUUUUUGUUUAGCUGCGGACGGGUGAGUAACACGUGGGUAUCUUGCCCGUGAGACCGGGAUAACUCCGAGAAACCGGAGCUAAGACCGGAUAACAACGAAGUCCGCAUGGUCCUUGGGUGUAGGGUGAAUUCUGUUGCCACUUACGGUUGGGCUGGGUGCGCAUUAGCUAGUGGGUGAGGUAAGGGCUCCCCAAGGCGAGGACGCGUAGCCGGCCUGAGGGGGGGAGCGGCAAAACUGGGAAGGAGACACGGCCCAGACUUCUACGGGAGGCAGCAGUAGGGAAUCUUCCGCAAUGGACGAAAGUCUGACGGAGCGACGCCGCGUGAGCGAAGAAGGUCUUCGGAUCGUAAAGCUCUGUUGUUAGGGAAGAAGAAGCGCCGUUCGAACAGGGCGGCGCGGUGACGGUACCUAACGAGAAAGCCCCGGCUAACUACGUG
rnacentral:rRNA from 1 species